GCAGACCACUUUAAGAAUCCUGCUCUGCUGUCCUCUCUCUGCCCUGCAAACAGAGGUAGAAGCAUGGCAGCCGCACUCAGCCUCCUCAGACUCCCCAUUCUUCCCCAAAAGUCCACUCAAUGCCUCUCAAAAAUCCAACAGAGUUCAUCAAUCCCAACAAAACCCAGCAAUGCCAAGGACUCAACAAAACUCCUCACAACCACCACUGACCGCCUUAAGUCAACUUCUCUCCCACUUACAGCUCUCACAUUGCCCUUUUUGUUGGACACCAAGAAUGCACUUGCUGCAGGUGGGGAGUUUGGGAUACUGGAGGGAAGGACAUUUGCGCUGAUUCACCCAAUUGUGAUGGGAGGACUGUUUGUGUACACAUUGUGGGCAGGCUACUUGGGUUGGCAAUGGAGGAGAGUGAGGACAAUCCAGGAAGAAAUUAAUGAGCUCAAGAAGCAGGUGAAGGCUACCCCUGUCACACCCGAGGGGACUCCAGCGGAAGCUCCCCCAUCUCCUUUGGCACUCAAAAUUCAGCAGCUCACUGAGGAAAGGAAGGAGUUGAUGAAAGGGUCUUACCGGGAUAAACACUUCAACGCAGGAUCGAUAUUGUUAGCUUUCGGAGUUUUUGAGUCGGUUGGUGGAGGACUCAACACUUGGUUUAGGACAGGAAAGCUAUUUCCAGGUCCCCAUUUGUUUGCUGGAGCAGCUAUCACGGUGCUAUGGGCAGCGGCGGCAGCUCUUACGCCUGCAAUGCAAAAGGGAAGUGAGACAGCCAGAAGCCUUCACAUUGCAUUGAAUACGAUAAACGUUCUGCUUUUCGUAUGGCAAAUACCUACUGGAUGGGAGAUACUUCUGAGAGUGUUUGAGUUCACUACAUGGCCUUGAAUUGCAGACAUUCCAAAGGCAUUGGGAAUGGCUUGUUUCUUCCUAGUAUCCAAAGAAACUCCGGAACCAACGUAAUCUUCUGCAUUCAUGUUCAUAGUUCACUUCAUUUCCUCCUGACACGCUUCUUGUUCUAGCUAAAUCACAUAAGUCGGCACAGUUGAAUCUGCUACCAAUCGAGUGCAAAAUCAUUCCAUUGUAGCAUAUUGGGUUACCGGAUACAUAAAUGAGUAGGUUCAAGGUAUCAAGGUAUAACGUACGUAUAAGGUAUUCCUAGCAUGCAGAUGCAGUUUGUGCCUUUCCCUCAGAUCAAAGGCAAGGAUAUUAGGUUAUAUUCCGAAGGGUGAACUGCCACUUUAGUCUCUAAUAUUAUAAAAAUUUGCCAAUUACAUCUUUAAUAUUAGAUUUAAAGCUACUAUAUUCAAUUUUUUGUCAAUUUAAGUCAUGUUACUUGCAUGUAAUAUAUAUUGUAGGGUAGAUUAGUAAUUUUUCAUAAAAAAAUAGUGUAUGGAGUUAGCUUUGAA